GAACCACUUCGGUGGGGAUUAGUGGCGAACGGGUGAGUAACACGUGGGCAAUCUGCCCUUCACUCUGGGACAAGCCCUGGAAACGGGGUCUAAUACCGGAUACGACACUCUCGGGCAUCCGAUGAGUGUGGAAAGCUCCGGCGGUGAAGGAUGAGCCCGCGGCCUAUCAGCUUGUUGGUGAGGUAAUGGCUCACCAAGGCGACGACGGGUAGCCGGCCUGAGAGGGCGACCGGCCACACUGGGACUGAGACACGGCCCAGACUCCUACGGGAGGCAGCAGUGGGGAAUAUUGCACAAUGGGCGAAAGCCUGAUGCAGCGACGCCGCGUGAGGGAUGACGGCCUUCGGGUUGUAAACCUCUUUCAGCAGGGAAGAAGCGAAAGUGACGGUACCUGCAGAAGAAGCGCCGGCUAACUACGUG
rnacentral:rRNA from 1 species